UUUUUAUUACUUUUAGGGGAUUUAAUGAUUUUAAAAUGGAACUGCCAACUUUGAUAGUAAACAGAUUGCAUGCAGAUUCCAGUUACCUUUACUCAGCAAUACUAGUUGGAAGUACAGAGACAGCAAAUUUAAUUACAGAAAGGAGAAGAACUUAACAUAAUUUGCCAUCAACAAUUUCAACUUUAAGGACAGAGAGUUCAAUGGGACACUGAACGAAAAGAUACACACAUAUAACAGGACUACCUAUUAUAGAUGACAGAGAACAAAUAUUAUUUUAUUAAAUCACAGAAAAUGCCAUAAAUGGAAAGAUUUUCUAAAGACAUUCUCCUUACUCAUCCAUCCAAUUCCAUCUGAUGGUCAAUUCUCCAUCAAGUUUCCAUGCAUUUUACAUGUAAUGGAAAUAUUCCAUUGGUUUUCCAUCUGAUAGCAAAAUUACCAUCAGUUUUCCAUCAGAUGGCAAAAAUACCAUCAAUUAUCCAUCAAAUGGCAAAAUCAGUUACCCAUCAGAUGGAAAUUAUGCCAUCAAUUUUCCAUCAUCAUGAACACAAAUUCCAUCAAACCUUUUCCAUCAACCAUUUUCCAGCAUUGAUGGAAAGUUGUUCCAAUAAUCCAUCAACAUGAUGGAAUGUGAUGGCAUUUUUUCCAUCACAAAAUUCCAUCAUCUUUGAUGGAAAAUCUAGGGAAGGGUAAUAAAAUAAAUGUCUUUUUGGCAUAAGAACAAUUAGAUAAAAAACAAAGAAAGUGGCAAGCUACAUAUAGUCAAAACGAAUAUGUGUGUCAUUUAUCAACAGAAAUGGAAAAAAAAUACUCUUUAAAAACUAAAAUAAUACUUAAAUGUUUUUGUUUCAUUUUAUUUACAUAAAAUUAUGUGGUCAUUA